UCCGGGGUAGCUCAGCGGUAGAGCGGGUGGCUGUUAACCACUAGGUCGUAGGUUCGAAUCCUAUCCCCGGAGCCA
rnacentral:tRNA from 1 species